rnacentral:rRNA from 1 species
GGUGUGGAGAGUGAAGCAGCAGAGGUAGUGCGUAGGGUGCCGUGGUGGUCCGGAAGGUGUGGGUGGAAAGGGCUCGUAGGUGGCUGGUAGCGUCGGCGGUGAGAGAGCGGGGCUUAACCCGGAGCCUGCCGUCGAUACGGGGAGACGUGAGUGCGGGAGGGGAGACCGGAAUGCCUGGUGGAGCGGUGAAAUGCGCAGAUAUCAGGAGGAACACCGGCGGGGAAGGCGGGUCUCUGGGCCGUAACUGACACUGAGGAGCGAAAGCGUGGGGAGCGAACAGGAUUAGAUACCCCAGUAGUC